rnacentral:rRNA from 1 species
GAACAAACGCUGGCGGCGUGUCUUAAGCAUGCAAGUUGAGCGGCAAGGAGGAGAGAUCCUCCCUAGAGCGGCGGACUGGUGAGUAACGCGUGGGUAAUCUAUCGUAGGCAUGGGGAUAGUCACUAGAAAUAGUGGGUAAUACCGAAUACGUUCCAUGAGGGGAGUAUUCAUGGAAGAAAGGGUGCUACGGCACUGGCCUUAGGUGAGCUCGCGUCCCAUUAGCUAGUUGGUGAGGUAAAGGCCCACCAAGGCGAUGAUGGGUAGCCGGCCUGAGAGGGUGUACGGCCACACUGGGACUGAGAUACGGCCCAGACUCCUACGGGAGGCAGCAGCUAAGAAUAUUCCGCAAUGGACGAAAGUCUGACGGAGCGACGCCGCGUGGAUGAAGAAGGCCGAAAGGUUGUAAAGUUCUUUUGCUAGGGGAGAAUAAGUGAGGGAGGGAGUGCCCUCAUGAUGACAAGGACUAGCGAAUAAGCCCCGGCCAACUACGUGCCAGCAGCCGCGGUAACACGUAGGGGGCGAGCGUUGUUCGGAAUUACUGGGCGUAAAGGGCAUGUAGGCGGCUUGGUAAGCCUGGCGUGAAAGACUGCAGCUUAACUGUAGGGAUGCGUUGGGAACUGCUUAGCUUGAGUUACGGAGNNNGAGCUGGAAUUCCUGGUGUAGGGGUGAAAUCUGUAGAUAUCAGGAAGAACACCGAUGGCGAAGGCAAGCUUCUGGUCGAUAACUGACGCUGAGGUGCGAAAGUGUGGGGAUCAAACAAGGAUUAGAUACCCUGGUAGUCCACACUGUAAACGAUGAAUGCCAGCCGUUGGAAAGUUUACUUUUCAGUGGCGCAGCUAACGCUUUAAGCAUUCCGCCUGGGGAGUACGGUCGCAAGAUUAAAACUCAAAGGAAUUGACGGGGGCCCGCACAAGCGGUGGAGCAUGUGGUUUAAUUCGACGCAACGCGCAGAACCUUACCAGCCCUUGACAUGUCCAGGACCGGUCGCAGAGAUGUGACCUUCUCUUCGGAGCCUGGAGCACAGGUGCUGCAUGGCUGUCGUCAGCUCGUGUCGUGAGAUGUUGGGUUAAGUCCCGCAACGAGCGCAACCCCCGUCCUUAGUUGCUACCAUUUAGUUGAGCACUCUAAGGAGACUGCCGGUGAUAAGCCGCGAGGAAGGUGGGGAUGACGUCAAGUCCUCAUGGCCCUUACGGGCUGGGCUACACACGUGCUACAAUGGCGGUGACAAUGGGAUGCAAAGGCGCGAGCCCUAGCAAAUCUCAAAAAGCCGUCUCAGUUCGGAUUGGGCUCUGCAACUCGAGCCCAUGAAGUUGGAAUCGCUAGUAACCGUGGAUCAGCAUGCCACGGUGAAUACGUUCCCGGGCCU